AGGGAGAGCGUUAGACUGAAGAUCUAAAUGUCGGCGGUUCGAUCCCGGUUCGUGGCA
rnacentral:tRNA from 1 species